GGCUAUGACGGGUAACGGGGAAUUAGGGUUCGAUUCCGGAGAGGGAGCCUGAGAAACGGCUACCACAUCUAAGGAAGGCAGCAGGCGCGCAAAUUACCCAAUCCUAAUACAGGGAGGUAGUGACAAGAAAUAACAAUACAGAGCCUUACGGUUUUGUAAUUGGAAUGAGUUAAGUAUAAACCCCUUAACAAGUAUCAAUUGGAGGGCAAGUCUGGUGCCAGCAGCCGCGGUAAUUCCAGCUCCAAUAGCGUAUAUUAAAGUUGUUGCAGUUAAAAAGCUCGUAGUUAAUUUUCUGUUAAUUUUUAUAUACAAUGCUACGGUAUUUAUAUAAUAUUAACAUAAUUCAUAUUACUUUUUAGUAUAUGAAACUUUACUUUGAGAAAAUUAGAGUGCUUAAAGCAGGCUAUUGCCUUGAAUACUCCAGCAUGUU
rnacentral:rRNA from 1 species